UGCACAGUACUAAUACUUCUAAAAUGGACUAUUGGCUUAGUAGACAUCUCUUCAUUGGAAUGAGAGAUCCAUUUCAGUAAAGCUAGUGCUAAGUUAAAGUAUCUAAAUGGAUUUUACCUCUGUCAAAUUAGGAAUGUUGUCUCAUUCAGACAAAUAGCGAACUACCCGCGUAAACAUAAACACACUUGGUGAUUUCACACAUGGACCAGAUGUUUCAGUCCACAGAAGUAAAUGAAUCUUAAUUUGGAUGUCUUUCAGUGAGUUUUAAUAAUGAGAGUGUAAAACAUCACCAAGGUUCAUUUAACUGUAAUGUCUUUAACUGGAUACAUUAUAGCCUGUAUGAGCAAUACUGUGAAAUCAUGUUCAGUGUCAUUCAAGCCUGUUCUGUUUUCAGUUUGGUGUUUCCUGAACAGCAAAAGAAAAAAAAAGAGAACAACCUGCAUUUUAUUUUUUUGACUGAAGUGCUACAUCACACCCUUUGGUCUUGUCUGGUAUUUGCUGAGUGGCAUUAGACAUGUUUGGAAGCAGUUUAAACUUCAGAAAAGCUUCACAUUACAGGGGCUGAAAGAAUCAGUGGGUGUUCUUCGUGGGAGGAUUUAGGUGUGACUCUUGCUUUUUAAGAAAUGUUUUUUUUUUCUUCUCUAUGCAGUCUGCACGAGUGUGGAAAUGUGUUUUCUGACCUGAUUGACCUGAUAACAUGUUUUGUUUGAAGACACACACACACACACACACACACACACACACACACACACACACACACACACAAAAUAAAAGAAAGUAAAAAGGUUGACCCAGCACUGACUGCACACACACAAACACAGUAUUUAUAUAUAAAUAUGUUUAUGAUUCAUGCUAGCUUUGAGAAUAGUUCCUAUUUUCAUUACUAUACAAAUUGACCACUUGUUACAAAUUUUGCAUUACUUUUUAAUAUAUUGUAAAUAAAUGAUGGGGAUUGUUUGGAAUGGCUUCUAGAAUGGUUGACUUGAAGUGUUUUGCUGCUGUGGGAGUGUCUGAUGCACCUACUUUUGUAUCUUCGUGUGUUGUGAGAUAGCAGUAUGGAUGCUAUGGGUGGCUGCUUUUAAUAUUUAUUUCACUGUGUGUAAUUUAAGGGAACAUCAGCCCGUUUCUUCUGCUGCUUCUUUUGGCUACUCCCUUUAGGGUUCGCCACAGUGGAGCAUCUGCUACCAUCUAACUGUAUCCCUAGCAUCCUUCUGGCCAGUCCCAAUGAAAAUCUUAACAUCUCAACUUCUAGUUUGACCUGUAUUUUGGUAGUUCCACUGUCUCCAUAUGUCUAUACAUCAUAGCAAGUCUCACUACCAUCAUGUAAACCUUCCUUGUCACUCUCACUGCUAUCCUUCUGUCACAAAUCAACACAGAAACUCGUCGCACUCACUUCACCGUGCCUGCACUCUCUUCUUGACCUCUCUUGUGCACUCUGUUGCUUUGGAUGAUUGACCCCAGAAAUUCAAGAUUCAAGGAAUAUUGCAGUAUGUCCAAAAUGGGAAUACUUGGAUAUCUAAAAUAUGUUCUUGUUACCCACUGUUCCUUAAACAAAUGUAUUUUGCACUGCAGUCAGCAGAUUUUAUAUAAAUAACUCUCUCACUGAGCUAACACAGCCAAUCCCUCAGCAUGUUUGUACUCUCUGC
ensembl:lncRNA